rnacentral:rRNA from 1 species
GGGUCAGUAGGUUGGUCGUGCCACCGGUACGUACUGGCCUCACUGACUCCUCCUUCCUGAAGAACCGUAAUGCCAUUAAUUUGGUGUUGCGGGGAAACAGGACUGUUACUUUGAAAAAAUUAGAGUGUUUAAAGCAAGCUAACGCUUGAAUACAUUAGCAUGGAAUAAUGAAAUAGGACGAUCGAUCCUAUUUUGUUGGUUUCUAGGAUUGACGUA